rnacentral:rRNA from 1 species
GACGAACGCUGGCGGCGUGCUUAACACAUGCAAGUCGAACGGAAAGGCCCUGCUUGCAGGGUACUCGAGUGGCGAACGGGUGAGUAACACGUGGGUGAUCUGCCCUGCACUUCGGGAUAAGCCCGGGAAACUGGGUCUAACACCGGACAGGAGCCAUUUUUAGUGUGAUGGUUGGAAAGUUUUUUCGGUGUAGGAUGAGCUUGCGGCCUAUCAGCUUGUUGGUGGGGUAAUGGCCUACCAAGGCGGCGACGGGUAGCCGGCCUGAGAGGGUGGACGGCCACAUUGGGACUGGACUACGACCCAGACUCCUACGGGAGGCAGCAGUGGGGAAGAUUGCACAAUGGGCUCAAGCCUGAUGCAGCGACGCCGCGUGGGGGAUGACGGCCUUCGGGUUGUAAUCUCCUUUCGCUAGGGACGAAGCUUUUGUGACGGUACCUAGAGAAGAAGCACCGGCUAACUACGUG